UCUCAGUGUGGGAUUAUUUAAACAGCAAGUUGAUGUUGAAAAGGCAUGCCCCGAGAGCCAGCAGUAGCAGCAAGCUCAUCAUGAGGCAAAGACACAUUACUGGGGCUGUGGACUAGCCAAGAAGAUGUACUUGUUGCUGUAAAACAACAAAUUUGCACAGGAAGUCCUGAGUGAUGUCUUUCCUGUAAGUGAUGCAUGUCACCAUGUACUACCAACGCUGCAUAGUUCAGUUUUCCAUGGAACACUUACAAGGUGAAGUGCCCAUCUUUGAAGUAACAGCAGCAGGAUCCAUCCUGAUUUGGCUGAAGAGGAAAUUCAAACAUUCAUUUCUGCUGUUAUAAAUCAGUGACUCAGCAGGAGUUCAUUUUUUUCCAACAUUCAUGAAAAAAAAAAUACAACUCUCAUUCUGCCCUCCUUCAUAAAAAUCAAAAUGCAUCUCCUCACAGAGGAAAUUAGUUCCACUGAUUUUGCUUUUUCCCAGGUCAGCUAAAAAGAAAACAAAUUAAAUAUAUUCUAAUUUCAAUGUGAUUUUAUUUUUUUCUUGCUUUGACCACAGAAAGAACUGUCCAGUUUCCAUCUAUAUCAUUGGACAAACAUGUUUGAGGAAGCUAUUUUCUGUCCUUCAAAAUACGCUUUAGGAAUUUGGAGGAAACACCUGAUUGUUUUAUUUUUCCUAAUAAGUUUUUCUAUUCUCUUCUAUAAAAUGCACAAUUAUCUCUCAUUCACCGAAUGAAAGAGUAAGAGAUUAUCUUUCUGUAAAAGCUUUCUACAAAAUCUUUAGAGGUUUACUGCAGAUCUACAAAAUUUUUAGAGGUUUACUGCAGAUUUAAUUUAUUGGCUUACUAUUAAUAUAAUUAGAAAGAAAAUUGAAUUUGAACAUAAUGAAAAUAAUGCACAAGCUUUCAAAAUAACUUGGCUGAUACUAUGUUUUAAAAGAACAGGUUAUACAUCUGCAGACUUUCAGUGUAGUGCUACGUUUCAGAUAUGUAUGCAAACAACUGUGACUUUGAAUUCACAAAAUAUUUUUGCGGUUUCAAAUGAUUUUAAAACUUUGUUGAAAUGUUUAGGAAUAAGCAUGCACCUGCACAUUUCCAAUAUCCUCUAAGAAAGUUCUGAUUGUGUGAUUCAUACCAGAUAUUUACAUGUUAAGAGAGUGAGGAUGUGCUUUCUUGAAGACCUAAAAAUUUAUUAGCCUUUUUGGGGACAACUGGCAAGCAUCAGAGAAGAAUUUGGCUGUAAAAAUAAUUUUAAAAAACUACAUACAGAAAUGUGUUUAUCAUGAUGGUCACCAGCAAGUAAUCUAAAUUCAAUGAUGCUGUUUUAAUUCGAUAAAUUUAAAAGCUCCAAGACCCCAUAUUCACAUCCAUUCCUGCCUGCAGUAUGCAACUUCCUACUGAGACAAAGGAUACCAUUUUUCAACACAAAAAACUGACACUAAAUGGUAGAUGAUAUGCCACAAAUAGUAGUGGGACUUCUUUCAAAUUAUUGCCUUGCUGAAUACUUAGAAUAUGCUUAGACAUUUUUCUGGCCUGGGAUAUGCAGACAAUUGCAUUAAACAUUUUAAGCUUACAUAAAGCCUCCAAAAAUAUGGGGUUUAUCUUGACACUUCUGUGAUUAACAGUCUUAAAUAGAAAGAAAUAAUAACUCAGAUGUGUCCUGCACAUUGCCACAUUUCAGAGAAGGUAUUUCCCAUCAUGAACAACUUACAAAAUGGUCUCUGGCUCUAUCAUUACUUUUGGUUUAUGACAGGAUUUAAUUAUUUACCUUCUUGGUUUUGUUAGAGGAGGGACAAGAGGAUUUUAUUGCAAGCAGUGAUCUUCUCCAAGAGAUAUAUUUGCUUUCCUUUAUUACUUCAUGCAGAAGAGAAGUUUCCUAUAGUCCCACUUACAGUAAACAGAACAUAGAUCACUACAAAUUCAAAAUGGGUUGCAUAUGACUGGAUGUCCAAUCCACCAAACUCUUGCUUGUGAAAGUAACCCCAUAAUUUUCAAAAUAUUACAAGAGAAGGCCUGUAUUAAUGCAUUCAGUGAACGACUGUACAUGUACUGUGUAUGUUUUGGAUGGUGAGUUCAUUUUUCCUUCUAUUAUAUCACUCUUCAGCGAAACUCAGAGCUUUACAUUUCCCUAUUCUAAAAGUGGAGGAAGUCUGCAUUCAAAAAUUCCCACGUUGUAUGCAGGAGGAGGAAUCUCCAGAACAGUUCAGAGUGUAAUUCCCUGAAGUAAGUGUAAUUACCAUAUGUCAUGCAAUUUUCCUGUCUCAAUUUUUAAAGUGUUUUUUUAGCUUUAGGUAACUGACAAAAAAAGCUAAAUACCAGUAGCCAUUUGACUGGGUAUAACAGAUUUGCCACUAAUUUUUCCAUUCUGAGAUUUAUCUAAUUUAUUCACCAUUAAGUAACUUAAACUUUCAAAGAAAAAGCUUUUGUUUUUAUCUUCCUCUGACAAUACACUGCUGUUAUGAAUUUUCAUUAUAGAAAUACAUACUGUUUUUACUAGUAUAAUUAUUAAAUACACUAAAAAGGAGAAACAGGGUGGGGUCAGAUUUUAAAAACAUUUAAGCACUAAAUGAUGCAGCAUGUUUGUAGUAAGAUUUUUAGAAGAUCCUACAAGUUUAACCUACCAUUGACUUCAAUAAAGGCCAAGCUCUGAGGUAUUUUCAAAAAUAUUUAGUAUUUAGUUAAAUUAUCACAGGCUUGAAUACCUCUAAAAUCUUGCCCUUAAUAAUUUUUAUUUUUCCUUCCAACAGUUAGCAUUGUCAGGGAUUUCAAGAUUUAAGUUAACAAAUAAUAUAUAUACAAAUAAUAUAUAUACAAAAAUCUACUUCAGAUACUUGAAUUUAACAUUAUUCAUAGCGACAUUUAUCAAUGCUUGUAUCUUUCCUAUCCCAUAUGUUGUCUGUUUUCUGUUGACAGGUAGGUGUAUGUUUUGGAUGGUGAGUUCAUUUUUCCUUCUAUUAUAUCACUCUUCAGCGAAACUUAGAGCUUUACAUUUCCCUAUUCUAAAAGUGGAGGAAGUCUGCAUUCCAAAAACAAGAAAAGAAUGUUCAGUGCAAUGUGCUUUGACACAUAAUGGACUUGCUGCAAUCAUUUCUGAACGUUGCAGUUCUCCAAAAUAUUCUUUAACCGAACAAAUAGGCAUCAUUACUGUAGAAAUGCCUCAGCAAGGACAAAACACACACUUGAAAGAAAGAUAUUUGCACAGUGAUACUCUUCUGUGCAUAGUUUUGUAAUCACUUGAAAGCCUCCUAAUCAAUAUCCACUGUCAUUUGUCAUCAUUCAGUCUGAUUUUCUAAUCUUACCCCACUAAACCCCCAAAAUCAAUGGCCCGCAACACAAAACCUCACAUCCAAAACCCAAAAGUAAACAAAAGAAAUUAUUAAAACUGAAGGGUUUUAUUCAAUUUUCCCACUCCUAAAUUUUUUGUGAUUUAUUUUUUAUACUAGAAAUCAGUGCAUGAAAAGACAUCAAAUAAAGCUCACACUGGUUUUAUCAUUCUCUGAAACAAUGCUAUUUUCCAUAUUAUGUUCUCUCCAUUCAGCAAGCAGUAGAAAGAGAAUCUAGCUUAAGGCACAGGUGGGAAAUAAAAUAACAUAUUUAUCAUAAAACCAGUAAACACUAAUAUUCAUUCAACAUUGUAGUUUGAAAGAAGCAUCAAGACCACCACUUAGGAGUUUGUAAAGAGUCUUUAUGAAAUUGUUUGUUCUGCAGUCUACAAGAACUUUGCAGCUGAAAGAUACUGUAAUGGUAGAAAUCAGAUCAAAGCAAAAUUUCAUGUUAUGCUGUGUUAACACUUCCUUUGUGGCCUUGCCAAUGCUUGCCAAAUAUAAGCUUUUAUUUAAAAAAAACAAUUACAUCCACUAAGCCUUCUGGUACAAUUGCCUUGAUUUUCUCAGUCUACAAACAGGUUUUUUGAGCCUAGAGAAG